rnacentral:rRNA from 1 species
CACUUUCGCUUCUUCCCUGCUGAAAGAGGUUUACAACCCGAAGGCCGUCAUCCCUCACGCGGCGUCGCUGCAUCAGGCUUUCGCCCAUUGUGCAAUAUUCCCCACUGCUGCCUCCCGUAGGAGUCUGGGCCGUGUCUCAGUCCCAGUGUGGCCGGUCGCCCUCUCAGGCCGGCUACCCGUCGUCGCCUUGGUAGGCCAUUACCCCACCAACUAGCUGAUAGGCCGCGGGCUCAUCCUUCACCGCCGGAGCUUUUAACCUUCCCCCAUGAGAGAGAAAGUAUUAUCCGGUAUUAGACCCCGUUUCCAGGGCUUGUCCCAGAGUGAAGGGCAGAUUGCCCACGUGUUACUCACCCGUUCGCCACUAAUCCACCCCGAAAGGCUUCAUCGUUCGACUUGCAUGUGUUAAGCACGCCGCCAGCGUUCGUCCUGAGCCAGGAUCAAACUCU